UACCUGGGCGCAGCACUCCCGUUGAACCACCGGGUGAGGCAGCUCUCGCGCCGGCGUCGGCGGUACGUGCACGAUUGUUCCACGUACUCGCGCCGGCGUUAGACGCUGGCCCGCCGGUACCGUCGGGUUUGCCGGCGACAACAAAGAGUCCACCGCCGUCGUUGUAGACGGAGCCCCUAUCGUUAACCGCUCUCGCCGUGUCGUCGACAGGCAAGGCGUCGCCGCCGGAAUCGGGACUACCUCCGGUGGGUGCUGGUACAGCUCCGGUGGGUGCGGCUCGAGCGCCGCCAGUGGCGUGUUUAGCUUGCUUCGAAGAGGCUGUAUCCAGCCGUUGGGUGCUGGCUUCUCAACCGUUAGUGGCUCUCGCAAGCUCGUCGUCAGGCAAGGAGGCGGCGUAUGGAACGCUACUGUCUCGGGCAGGUUCGGGUCUAGCGCCGGCAGGUACGGGUCGAGUACCGCCGGAAAAGGUUUCUCUACCGCCUGCACCUACCGCUCUACGAUGGCUCAUACCACGCUACCUACUGUACCUCGGGGAAGGGGUCCUUUGGCAGCCCACGUUCGACCUGUACCUCCGCCGCCGCCUCUAGCUGCUCGUGGUCGGCAUCAUGAGUAGGAGGAGACGGCAGAUGUGGUCGCGGCGGAAGGUCCGGCCGAGGACGGCGGCCCGGCAGGCGUAGCAGUAGACAAGUUGGCGGGGGUCCGACCGUAGGAUCAGGCUUGAUGGUGCCGUUUUUGGGAUAGAUGUCCGGCGGCAGCUGAGCAAGCCAAGGCGGAUGCUGUAGUGGUCGUGGCUCAGGACGUGGUGGGUGGUCACGAAGUAGACGCCAACGUACCGCCGGAGGAGUACUAGGAACCUGCCCCGAACAAGUUCGUACCGGGUACGGGACCAGGCGAGGCAGGUGGGAGUCACGAGGCGGCCGUAUGAGUCCACGGACCGUUGGGCCGGAAGCCGGCGGAUGACCACGAGGGCCCCAAGAGUUGGGGGCUGUCGGCCGGUUACGGAUAGUGCGGCGGGGCUGCAUACGAGGAAUACCAGUAAUGUCGUGGCUGCCGCCGCGGAUGAUGUGUGGAGUCGGCCGGCACGAGGGCUGCGGUGGGGGUGGUGUCGGCCGGUUACGGAUGAUGUGAGGGGUCGGCCGGGAUGACGGAAGUGGUAGAGUUGGCGAGCCCAGCAGGUGGGUGCGGAGGCGGAGGUGGAGGUGGAGGUGAGCGCGUGACCGCCGCCGCCGCCAACGCGUCCGACUGACGAAGGAAGGCUUCCUUAGGAAGGGGUCCACAAACACAGAAACACUAUUACGAAGAUCCCCGUUUACAAAUGUUUAAGGUUGGUAGAAGAAGAGACUACUAUCACAUGAACUUUAUGGGUACGAAAACAAAAAGAAAAUAGCACACGAGGUGUGACUAGACUAAAACAAAUUGGUCCAUCGGCUACCUAACGACGAUGACACU
rnacentral:rRNA from 1 species